rnacentral:rRNA from 1 species
GGAGGGUGCGAGCGUUGUUCGGAAUUAUUGGGCGUAAAGCGCGUGUAGGCGGUUUGUUAAGUCUGAUGUGAAAGCCCCGGGCUCAACCUGGGAAGUGCAUUGGAAACUGGCAGACUUGAAUACGGGAGAGGGCAGUGGAAUUCCUGGUGUAGGAGUGAAAUCCGUAGAUAUCAGGAGGAACACCGGUGGCGAAGGCGGCUGCCUGGACCGAUAUUGACGCUGAGACGCGAAAGCGUGGGUAGCAAACAGGAUUAGAUACCCUGGUAGUCCACGCCGUAAACGAUGAGUACUAGGUGUUGCGGGUAUUGACCCCUGCAGUGCCGCAGCUAACGCAUUAAGUACUCCGCCUGGGAAGUACGGUCGCAAGACUAAA